ACAGUCACACAUUAGAUACCCGUGUAGUCCCAGCCGUAAACGAUGCGCGUUAGGUGUAUCGAUGACCACGAGUCAUCGAGGUGCCGGAGAGAAGUUGUUAAGUCUGCUACGUUGGGGAGUACGUCCGCAAGGAUGAAACUUAAAGGAAUUGGCGGGGGAGCACCGCAACGGGAGGAGCGUGCGGUUUAAUUGGAUUCAACACCGUAAAACUCACCAGGGAAGACUGUUACAUGAAAGCCGAGUUGAAGACUCUGCUAGAUUUUCAG
rnacentral:rRNA from 1 species